GACGAACGCUGGCGGCGUGCUUAACACAUGCAAGUCGAGCGGUAAGGCCCUUUCGGGGGUACACGAGCGGCGAACGGGUGAGUAACACGUGGGUGACCUGCCCUCAGCUCUGGGAUAAGCCUGGGAAACCGGGUCUAAUACUGGAUAUGACUCCAUGACGCAUGUUGUGGGGUGGAAAGCCUUGUGCGGCUGAGGAUGGGCCCGCGGCCUAUCAGCUUGUUGGUGGGGUGAUGGCCUACCAAGGCGACGACGGGUAGCCGGCCUGAGAGGGCGACCGGCCACACUGGGACUGAGACACGGCCCAGACUCCUACGGGAGGCAGCAGGUGGGGAAUCUUGCGCAAUGGGCGAAAGCCUGACGCAGCGACGCCGCGU
rnacentral:rRNA from 1 species